rnacentral:rRNA from 1 species
UACGUAGGGUGCGAGCGUUAAUCGGAAUUACUGGGCGUAAAGUGUGCGCAGGCGGCCGCGCAAGUCGAGUGUGAAAAUCCCCCGAGCUUAAACUUGGGGAAUUUGCGCUCGAAAACUACGUGGCUGGAGUGUGGCAGAGGAAGGUGGAAUUUCCACGUGUAGCGGUGAAAAUGCGUAGAGAUGUGGAGGGAAACACCCGAUGGCGAAAGGGCAGCCCUUCUGGGGCCAAACA